UAAAAUAAGAAUUCAGAAACUAUAAACCGGCUCUCUUCUAGCUUACGACACAAACUAUGAGUGAGAAAAGGACAAAUGAUUCGCUCUUUGCUUCAUUUUUUCCGAGGUUGUCACAACAUGAAAUGUCAUUUGGACCUAUUGGACUCAUUUUAACUCGGCCAAAUACAUAGUAACAUACAUAAGAAGAUUUUACUUAUAUUUAUCGAACUAUUUGACACGGUCGCGUCAACUGUGUUUACGAGUGUCUUGUGUUCAGAUUGUUUUAAGUGAUAAUUUAACAAUAUUUUUCCAAAUAAAUGGAAAGAAACUUUUAUUUAUAUCAAAUAAUUGAGUGUCUCGACUGUGUGACAUUAUGUCUUGUGUGGUAUGGGGCUGCAGCUCACAUUCAGGAAGAAAAGAAAAUAGCCAACAACUUCUGUCGUUUCAUCGAUAUUAAAUCCAAAAGUGUCGACUGGAUUUACAUGAAAAGUCAGUUCAAGAAGACGAGAUGAAAAAUUUAAAAGAAAAGCUGAACAAGUCCCGCCUCAAGAUCAAACGACUUAAUGAAAAAAAAAAAAAAAAAAAAAAAAACAAUGUGACAGGGUGUCACAAAGACAGUUUCUAAGCAAAUUGACACUGUUUAGAAAUUAAUAAAUUUGUAUUUAUUGUAAAUAUAAUGUACAUAAUUAA